rnacentral:lncRNA from 10 species
UUGCCGAUCCUCCCAGCUGAAUAAAGCCCUUCCUUCUACAACUUGGUGUCUGAGAGGUUUUGUCUGCGGCUCGUCCUUCUACAUUUCUUGGUCCCCUGACCGGGAAUCGAGGUAACUGAGGGAUGGCCGAGGUAGCCCCUUAGGCAGCUUAGGCCUGCCCUGUGGAGCAUCCCUGCAGGGGACUCUGGCCAGCCUGAGUGACGUGAUCCAAAGAGCACUCCUGGGUAGAAAAUUGCCUGGGUGGAACGCCUCACCAGAACAGCACGUAGCAGGCCCCUGUGGAGGAUUAACACAGUGGCUGAACACCGGGAAGGAACUGGCACUUGGAGUCCGGACAUCUGAAACUUGAAUUGACAAGCCGACAUCAGUCUCCAGAGUGAAUCCAAGGAGUGGACCCAAGACAUUUGUGUUCUGUGAUGUGGUGGCAUGUUACCUGUCAUCUCCGAUGCAUAACUCCUAAAGUGCGUCUGGGGCAGUUGUACAGAUUGCAGAGGAUAAUACUCAAGAUGUUCUCCAAGGCCAACUAGUCAUCAGUUUAUUCAUGCAAGUUUCUGGGAUUGGAUUCAUGAACUCAUCCUUUGAACUAUUUCAACAAGCUUUUUCAUGUAACUAAUCUGCGGAAGGUAGAAAGGGGAAAACUGUUGGGUGCUAAAAUGACAACUGGUUCAAGGUACAAUGGCGAAUAUUUUUAUUUCUGCAACUUUUCUUAGAGGUUGGAAACUGGACUGGGCAGGAAGAUUCCUUUUUGUAAGAUUAGUCUCCAGUUUUCAUCAAGCAGUUUAGUGGGGUAUUUUAGGCCCAGUUCCCUCUCCACAGUCCCCAAAGGUCUUCUGUUAACUUUAAAUCCGCAAAGAGAGAGAUCUCUGCCAAGCAGCAACUGCAAGAGCAUGUGGGUCAAUGUUACCAGCAGACACUCAAAGCCCAUUCCCUUUACUUCAACACCGCUUUAUAAAUUAUCUUAGAGACGUUGUCAGGUUGGUAUUAGAGGUGAGUGGUCAUGACUUCACGAUUUCUCAUCUUUCUGAAUGCAUAGUGGCUGGGAGUGGUGGCUCAUGCCUGUAAUCCCAGCAGUUUGGGAGGCCGAGGUGGGCAGAUUGUUUGACCACAGGAGUUCGAGACCAGCCGGGGUAACAUGGCAAGACCCCAAUCUCUACCAAAAAAAAAAAAAAAAAAUACAAAAAUUGUCUGGGUGUGGUGUGCAUGCCUGUAGUCCCAAGUCCCAGCUACUCUACUUGGGAGGCUGAGGCAGAAGGAUCACCUGAGCCCAGGAAGGCCAAGGCUGCAGUGAGCCCUGAUGGUGCCACUGCACUUGACCUUGGGCAACAGAAUGAGAAUGAGACCCU